GUUCAGUACAGCUCAACAUUCAACAAUAAAUAGUACAUAGUACACUAAAUAAAGUGUAAGACGAGAAAACAGGACAACACGUGCAUGAAAUAUGCAUUAAUACCGAAUCAGUGCAAAUUUCGCUGAAGAGUAAAUGUGCAAAAAGUUGCAGUAGUAUAUAGUGUUGUGAAAAGGUCUUUGCCCCCGAUUUCUUCUGUUUAUUGUGUAUAUCUCAUGCUAAAUAUCUUUUAGAUCUGAAACAAAAUACAACAUAAAACAAAGGCAACCUGAGUAAACACACAAUACAGGGUUUAUUUAUUUAUUUAUUUAAUCGAAGCAAAAAAAAAGUUAUCGAACACCCACCACCCACGUGAAAAACUAACUACCCCUUAAACUUCAAAUCUGGUUGUGGCACCUUUAGCAGCAAUAACUGCAACCAAAAGCUUCUAAUAACUGGAGAUCAGUCUUUCACUUACUUCUAGGACUAGGAUUUGCUCCUAUGCUUUGGAUCAUUGUCUUGCUGCAUAAUUCAGUUGCACUUGAGUUUCAAUUUACGGAUUGAAGACCGGACAUUCUCCUUUAGGAUUUUCUGAUAGAGAGCAGAAUUCAUGUUUCCCUCAAUUACUGCAAGUUGCCCAGGCCCUGAAGCAGCAAAGCAUCCCCACACCAUCACACUUUUUGUAGAAUUCUGUGUUUGGUUUCCUCGAUAUGUAAUGAGACCGCUGUCUUCCAAACAGUUCCACUUUCGACUCAUCAGUUCACAGAACAUUCUCCCAAAAGGUUUCAGGAUCAUUAAGGUGUGUUUUGCAAAGUUCAGACGAGCCUUAAUGUCCUUCUGGGUUAGCAGUGGUUUUCACCUCGCCACUCUUUCAUGGAUGCCAUUUUUGCCCAGUGUCUUUCUGAUAGUGAUGAACAGUGACCUUUAUUGAUGUAAGAGAGGCCUGUAGGAACUUUGAUGUUGUCCUUGGCUCUUUUGUGACUUCCUGGAUGAGUAGUUGCUGUGCUCUUGGAGGAAUUUUGGAAGGUCAGCCACUUCUGGGAAGGUUCACUACUGUGCCGAGUUUUUCCAUUUGGAGAUAAUGUUCUCACUGUGGUUCUUUGGAAUCUCAGAGCCUUUGAAAUAGCUUUGUAACCCUUCCCAGACUGAUGUAUAUCAAUUACCUUCUUCCUAAUAAUUUCUGGAAUAAUUUUGGCAUAGUGUGUUACUGGGUAAGACCUUUUAACCCACAUCAUGCUGUUGUAAAGGUUCUAUUUAAGUGAUGAUUUGAAUGAACAGGGUUUGCAGUAAUCAGGCCUGGUUGUGUCUAGUCCAGCUGAACCCCAUUAUGAAUGCAGUUUCAGAGAUUUGCGGAAUUAGUAACUAUGGGGGCAAAUACAUUUUCACACAGUUGAUACUGGAUAACUUUUUUGCUUCAAUAAAUAACAUUAUCAUUUAAAAACUGUAUUUUGUGUUUACUCAGGUUGUCUUUGUUUUAUAUUAAAUUUUGUUUUAAUUUCUGAAAUUAUUUAGUAUAAGAGAUACACAAAAACAGAAAUCAGAUUUUCACACCACUGUAGAUGGAUUGAAACCAGAAGCAGUAGUAGUGACUGGAGUUGAUGUGUAAUAACAAUGAGUAUACAAUAAUACCAUUAGAAUUAGGAGGACAGAUAUAACAAUGCAGUUCAGAGUGCAAAAAAACAAACAAACAAAAGAAAACAUUAUGGCAGUAUAGAGAUUAAGAGACCCAGGGACUUUUCACCAGUAUCUGAAGAGGAGUUAUGAGAUGAGUUUUCUGUAGACAAGAAGAAGGAAGGAUACGUUUUCUAAAGCAGAUUGUUUUUGUCAUCAGGAGUCUGUAUGUAGGGAUACACGUGGAACUCCAUACAGCCAGCAAACGGACAUCACAAUUACUACCAUACAAUUGAAUAAAAUGACAAUCAUUCUUCCAUGUCACUGUAAAAUGUCGAGAAGGCCAAAGCAACAAAAGUUUAUUAUAAUAUUGUUUUGUCACUCAUCAUCAGUUCUGUUCAGUGACAAAAUGUCUUCAAGAUUAUACCAAAAGUCCAAUCAUCAUAACUUACCGUUAUGAGAGGUCAUCUAUUAAGGCUCGUGUUCAGGAUAUACACUUUUAGCCUGGGCCAUAUGUCAUUUCAAAAUAUACAUUUGCACUUGUUACAGUAAAGUCCAUAUCCACUAUAGCACAAAA
ensembl:lncRNA